CCUACGGGAGGCAGCAGUGAGGAAUCUUCCACAAUGGACGAAAGUCUGAUGGAGCGACACCGCGUGAAGGAUGAAGGCCUAACGGUUGUAAACUUCUUUUCUGAGGGAGCAUAAUGAGAGUACUUCAGGAAUAAGGAGCGGCAAAUCACGUGCCAGCAGCCGCGGUAAUACGUGAGCUCCAAGCGUUACCCGGAAUUAUUGGGUGUAAAGGGUCUGUAGGUGGAUUUUUAAGUCAGGUAUGAAAGACCGAGGCUCAACCUCGCGUUUGUGCUUGAAACUGGAAGUCUGGAAUCAGGGAGAGGUAAGCGGAAUUCUAAGUGUAGGGGUGCAAUCCGUAGAUACUUAGAAGAACACCAAAAGCGAAGGCAGCUUACUGGAACUGUAUUGACACUGAGAGACGAAAGCGUGGGGAGCAAAAAGGAUUAGAUACCCUUGUAGUCCACGCCCUAAACGAUGAUAACUAAGUGUUGGGAGUUGUCCCAGUGCUGAAGCUAACGCGAUAAGUUAUCCACCUGAGGAGUACGGUCGCAAGAUUAAAACUCAAAGGAAUUGACGG
rnacentral:rRNA from 1 species